CACCGCGGUUAUACGAGAGGCCCUAGUUGAUAGACACGGCGUAAAGGGUGGUUAAGGAAAGCAAAAAUAAAGCCAAAGGGCCUCCUGGCCGUCAUACGCUUCCGAGAGUCCGAAGCCCAAAUACGAAAGUAGCUUUAACACAAGCCCACCUGACUCCACGAAAGCUGAGAAA
rnacentral:rRNA from 1 species